rnacentral:rRNA from 1 species
UACGUAGGGUGCGAGCGUUAAUCGGAAUUACUGGGCGUAAAGCGUGCGCAGGCGGUUCGCUAAGACAGAUGUGAAAUCCCCGGGCUUAACCCUGGGAACUGCAUUUGUGACUGGCGGGCUAGAGUAUGGCAGAGGGGGGUAGAAUUCCGACGUGUAGCAGUGAAAUGCGUAGAGAUGUGGAGGAAUACCGAUGGCGAAGGCAGCCCCCUGGGCCAAUACUGACGCUCAUGCACGAAAGCGUGGGGAGCAAACAGG